UGCGCAAACAGCUAUUCUAUUUUCCUGGUAGCCUAAUAUUUUAUGAGUAGUAACAAGUUUAGUUUCUCUGAAACACUCUAGGCCUACUAUUGAUAUGGUGCGUGUUCGUAGGCUAUCCACUAACACCACUCAGAAACUUGGAAUUAUUUCAUUUGCAUAGCAGUAGUAGCUUUCGUGAAGUCUUGUGACAUCAAAUGUUUUAAUGUCUUCAGUAGUACCUGCAUUGAGCUUCGAGCAAGAGACGUAUUUGUUGAAGCUCCUUCCCGAACCUGCCCAACUUCACCUGCUCAACAAGGGAAGCCACCAUAGGUUCUACAUGCAUACGUUGAGAUCUAAAUUUGACAAAGAAGGAAGAUUCGUUGUAAUAGUGUAUUUCAAAUCUGGGGAUGUAAAGGGGGGGUUACCUGCGUAAAUCGUCUGAGAGUGAGGACCAAGACGCGUUUGCCUUCGAAAUAAACCAUCAAGAAGGAACACACUUCCCUGUUCUGGAUGACUCUAAGGCGACACGUUUUUCAACCUCUUGGUCUAAUGGUUGCUUGAAGUUUGGGAAAUGUCUAAAGUUGUACACCAAGAAUAGAGAAAUGUGCGUGAAAUCGUUGGAUAUGAUAUAUCACCAGAGUUGGACGGGGCCGCAGUACCUGGAUGUUGAGCUGUAUCGAGUUGGAAAGGGAGAGGGUCACUGAAGAAGAAUCUGGUCUCCUUCAAACCGGCCUGCCAGUCUCUGAACCGGGUCAGGGUUCUGCUGAUGGGUCCUGCUGGGUCAGGAAAAUCCAGCUUCAUUAACUCUGUCAGAUCUGUGAUGUUCGGCAGAGUCCUUCUCCUGCCUUUUAUUGGCACUGCAACAAAGGGCUUCAUCAAGAAGCUGAAGUCGUAUGACAUCCGGUCAGAGAGCGGGGGGAAGCCCACAGCUCUGACCCUGUGUGAUGUGUUGGCUCUGGGGGACGGUGAGACGACUGGCCUGACCCUCACAGACUUACUGGCUGUUAUCAAGGGACACGCUCCCGAGGGACAUGAUGUAUAUUAUUACCUUUUCAAGAUGUUCAAACCCCUCAGUCUUACUGAGGAUAAAUAUCAGAAGAGAUGGGCCAAAUUGCUUGCUAUGCUCUUGUCCACAUUUGACACAUGCAAACUUGUUGGCCUACUUUUUUUAUUUAUUUUAUUGUUAUAACCAACUUUGAUAUAUAUAUAUA